rnacentral:rRNA from 1 species
GGGGGGGGGGGGGGGGGGGGGUGGGGGGGGCGGGGGGGGCGGGGGCUUGGGGGCUGGUGGCUGAGUGGUUGGUAGCGGGUGGGAGCCUGCGCGUAGUGUGGGGCUAACUCGCCGCGAGGGGUGUUAAUACCGUAUGGUGUCUUCUUCCGAAAGAGUUAUCGCCUUUGGAUGGGCCCGCGUUGGAUUAGCUAGUUGGUAGUGUAACAGCGUCCCAAGGCGCCGAUCCAUAGCUGGUCUGUGCGGAUGAUCAGCCACACUGGGACUGAGACACGGCCCAGACUCCUACGGGAGGCAGCAGUGGGGAAUAUUGGACAAUGGGCGAAAGCCUGAUCCAGCAAUGCAGCGUGAGUGAUGAAGGCCUUAGGGUUGUAAAGCUAUUUUACCCGGGAUGAUAAUGACAGUACCGGGAGAAUAAGCUCCGGCUAACUCCGUG